CUUGUUCGGAAGUCCUGCUGUCAUGCUUCCGGCAGCCUGCUUUUUUCAGGGGAGGCCAGCUGAGCAGGCAUUUGUCAUGCAAAGAGCAGAGACAUAACAAGGUCCACAGAAGGAAGAUUAAGAGCACAAAAUUAGGCCAUGUGGCAAUAACUGUGACCUGCUGGGAAGCAGUAGCAGCACCUGGGAGAAAUAGGCUCCGUGCCCAACGUGGAACCCAACAUGACCCUGAGAUCAAGACCUGAGCUGAUAUUGAGAGUCGGACCUCCAACCGACUGAGCCACCCAGGUGCCCCAG
rnacentral:lncRNA from 1 species